rnacentral:rRNA from 1 species
GAUGAACGCUGGCGGCGUGCCCAAUACAUGCAAGUCGAGCGAACGGACGAGAAGCUUGCUUCUCUGAUGUUAGCGGCGGACGGGUGAGUAACACGUGGAUAACCUACCUAUAAGACUGGGAUAACUUCGGGAAACCGUGGCUAAUACCGGAUAAUAUUUUGAACCGCAUGGUUCAAAAGUGAAAGACGGUCUUGCUGUCACUUAUAGAUGGAUCCGCGCUGCAUUAGCUAGUUGGUAAGGUAACGGCUUACCAAGGCAACGAUGCAUAGCCGACCUGAGAGGGUGAUCGGCCACACUGGAACUGAGACACGGUCCAGACUCCUACGGGAGGCAGCAGUAGGGAAUCUUCCGCAAUGGGCGAAAGCCUGACGGAGCAACGCCGCGUGAGUGAUGAAGGUCUUCGGAUCGUAAAACUCUGUUAUUAGGGAAGAACAUAUGUGUAAGUAACUGUGCACAUCUUGACGGUACCUAAUCAGAAAGCCACGGCUAACUACGUG